rnacentral:rRNA from 1 species
UGGGGAAUUUUGCACAAUGGAGGAAACUCUGAUGCAGCGACGCCGCGUGUGUGAUGAAGAUUUUCGGAUUGUAAAACUCUGUCUUUAGUGAAGAUAAUGACAGUAACUCAGAAGCAAGCCCUGGCUAAUUACGUGCCAGCAGCCGCGGUAAUACGUAUGGGGCAAGCGCUGUCCGGAAUUAUUGGGGGUAAAGGGUACGUAGGCGGUUUAAUAGGUCCUAAUUAAAAGGCUAUGGCUCAACCAUAGUAUGGUUAGGAAACUGUUGAACUUGAGUGAAUGAGAGGAAAGUGGAAUUCCAUGGGUAGCGGUGAAAUGAGUAGGUAUAUGGAGGAACACCAAUGGCGAAGGCAACUUUCUGGAAUCAAACUGACGCUGAGGUACGAAGGCGUGGGGAGCAAACAGG